rnacentral:siRNA from 1 species
UCUAAGCCCUUAACCGAAAUACCU